rnacentral:lncRNA from 1 species
CUUUUUGUAUCACAAGUAUCAACUGAAAAAUCACUUAAAACUAGUAAAAGCCAAAUAUGAAAUAAAUUAAUAAAAGUCAAGACCCUUCUUUUAUACCAGUAAGACCAGUAAUAAAAUAGAGCAAUUCGAAGGCCUCGGUGCAGCAGCAAGAAGUGUACAACUUACUGGAAUAAACUUAACGAGAAAUGCGGUGCAGAGUGCAGGGGACACGGGAAAGUCAGGACAAGAAAGGCGGAUGAGGCCAGGUUAGAGGAGAGGACCCCUGCAGCAGGAAGAACGGACAACCCUGGGGCUGACUUUAGCCGGCGGGGAUGCGCGUCACAGUGGGGUUAACUGAGCUCAGAAUGUCCAACAUACCUAGGGUGUGAAUGUGAGGGGCAAGACGACGCCCGAGGCUCGACAAUACUGGCGGCUCAUUACCCGGCAGCACUCGGGACCUGCGGCCACACUGAGACUUUCCUUGUGGCCACUGAACAGACGGCUGGUCUGAGAGCUGAGCCACACACACGACUGUCACCCCCACCGUGAUUCCGGGGCCGGAGGACAGAGACGCCAAGGCCGGCUGAAAACAAGACAGCGGGGAGGGACUGAAGGAGGAAGCUUCAGCCCAAGGCCAGAGACUAGCGGGUCUCGCUCGUCCGCCGGCGCCAGGAGAUGCCCGCGCGUUCCUAACGUUUAACUACGAAGCGGCCGUGAGACACCACGCGUUUGGGGUACGAGGCCAACAGUCUGGGGAGAACGGUGGUACGUGUGUCUCCGGCCGCCGCUGCGGGUGGCCCUUCGGACUCCCUGGGACCCGCCCCUGCCCAGCGUCCCGCCCGCUUCCCCGCCCUCUGCCUCCGCCCCGCCCCCUACCGCGCGCAAAGCCACGCCCCUUGCGCAGCCGCGGCUCGUGUCCCACCGCGCCGGCGGCCCCCCGCGGGCGGGUUUCCGCAUGCGCAACCCGCCGAGCGGGCGCGGACUACGUUUCCCGGCAGGCCGUGCGAGCCGCUGCCCGCG